GCGUGAGCGAUGAAGGCCUUAGGGUUGUAAAGCUCUUUUACCCGGGAUGAUAAUGACAGUACCGGGAGAAUAAGCCCCGGCUAACUCCGUGCCAGCAGCCGCGGUAAUACGGAGGGGGCUAGCGUUGUUCGGAAUCACUGGGCGUAAAGCGCACGUAGGCGGCGAUCUAAGUCAGAGGUGAAAGCCCGGGGCUCAACCCCGGAAUAGCCUUUGAGACUGGAUUGCUGGAAUCUGGGAGAGGUGAGUGGAAUUCCGAGUGUAGAGGUGAAAUUCGU
rnacentral:rRNA from 1 species